AAAUCAUGGCUUAUAGAAAACACCACUAGGGGGUCCCCAUACUAUCCAGAACAUAAUCCUGUCUGGCUGCAGCAUCAUUUUUGUCUCGGUGGAAGCACAGGCUAAGACAAAGUCUAAUUCUAAGUUUGCUGUGAAGCCGGAGGGUAGCUCUGUCUCUAUGAGGACCAUGUUUGUUUCACGGCGUGAUCCUAUAUACCUGCAACAGGCAGCCUUUGAAGUUGUUUCUUCUGCAGUAGGAACCGAGUUUGUUCAUCCACAUGAAAGUGCACAGUAUUCUCUCCAUCCGGAAUGAACAUAAUCUCUAAUCCACCAUGCUUA